UGGCGAACGGGUGAGUAACGCGUGGGUAACCUGCCUCAUACAGGGGGAUAACAGUUGGAAACGGCUGCUAAUACCGCAUAAGCGCACAGUACCGCAUGGUACCGUGUGAAAAACUCCGGUGGUAUGAGAUGGACCCGCGUCUGAUUAGCUAGUUGGUGGGGUAACGGCCUACCAAGGCGACGAUCAGUAGCCGACCUGAGAGGGUGACCGGCCACAUUGGGACUGAGACACGGCCCAA
rnacentral:rRNA from 1 species